GAUUUUGCUUUUUGCACUGACAGAUGCAGGCAAAUGGCAGCAAUUCAGCUCAGCCAAGGAGAUGGAAGAACUCCACGGGACUCCAUCUGGGGCCUGUUUCUUUGGCCUGUGAAGCCUGGCAGAGCCUUUCCCUGGUAGUAAAAUUUUCCAGGCUAGCUAUCAACUGCACCAUUAAAACUAAAACUGGAAAAGAUAUAUGACGUACUUCAGACUCCAGCAAUAUGCAGUGCAUCAUGAGAUCGCUAAGAGAAGGGGAGCUCACAGCACACAGAGAGAAGGUGGCUGUCUGCAAAUGAGGAAGAAAGCCCUCACUGAAAAUUGAAUCGAUCUUAGAUUUCUAGCUUCCAGAACUGUGUGAAAAUAAAUAUUUGUCAUUUAAGCCACCCAGCCUAUGAUACUUUUGCUAUGGCAGCCCACGGUGGUGACUACAAUGGGCAUGUACAUUUAUUAAGACAUAUUAAACACUGUUUUUAAAUGUGUGUGAAUUUUAUUAUGUAUUAAUUAUACUUCAAUAAAACUGAU